AUGUCAGCACUCUUUAGAGGCUAUCGCUCGUUUACCGCAGAUCUCCAUCCCACAACUGGUAAUAAAAUCGCGCAAGCACUUGGUUCGCCCCUUACUAUAACCAUCCCACUCAAUCUUUUACACCGAUGUUUCGUAGUCUCUCGACAAGGUCAUCAUAAGCACACUUGUCGUCUAGGGACCACCCACAUUCAUUCAUUCAUUGUUCUGUUGUGGAUUCGAACCACUAGCACAAAUUUGAUUUCGAGUCAAAGGGCGCUUCUUUAG
rnacentral:rRNA from 1 species